rnacentral:lncRNA from 1 species
CAAAUUAAGUGGGAGCAAUAGAAGUUGGGGUACCCGUUCUGCCAUGACUUUCUCUUAUUGGUGUUUAAUGUGUAAUAGUGUUUAUAUUUUCUUAAAACGUUUAAGAUCUUGUUGACCGUUAAAGGCAAGGUAUUAAGAGUAGUCAUACAAUUUACCGAUUAGUAGUUUUGUCGUAUAGAAACCGCUCAUUCAUUUUGAUAUCAUAACCAAUAAUAACGAUUAUUACAAUAAUAAUCGCCGAAUAUUAUAUCUACAUUGUAUAAAGA